UUUAAAUAUGGGAGCCAAUUGACAGCACACACUCUCAGUCAUGAGGCUUCCUCCAGAGCAAAGUGGCUCACAGAUUCCCUUGGUGAAGAAGGAGGUGCACAGUUGUCUCAUUUCCUGUUCUGCUGUCCCUCUCAAGGGCCUGGUCUGUCUUCCAGGACAUGCUUCAGGAUCAGAAGAAGAGAAAAGACAGCUUGGUGAUAACUAAAAAGAUGGAAGGAGGAGAAAAUGAAAGGUUGCGUGAAGACAAUGGCUGAGACAGCCCAUCGUUCCACCCUGCACAGCAGCGAGUGCCUCCUUCCCCAGCCUUGUCUCCUCUGUAGUGAGUCUACACAUUACUCUGCUAAACCUGAGCCUUCUGUCCUCAGACAUGGUGGGAGGUACCAUGCUCUAGAGUAGACAUCUGAUCGGAGACCCACAGGGAACUCUGUGAUUGGCCUUUAUGUCUUGCUGGACAACAGAUUGUCCUGUGAAGGGAAGUGAUGGGACAGGAUGUUCAGCUUUCAUGGACUCAGACAAGAGAAGUGGUAACUUCUGCCAGGGUCACAGGACAACUACAGAGCCAAGCAGCUUCAGAAAUAGAAGAGUGAGCAGGCAAAGAAAAUGCUACACCACCCAUCCUGAGGCUGCUGCAAUCCUGCCACCAGGGACUCAGCAGGAGACCAGGGAAAGUGCUCCACAACCCUUCUAGAGGGCCUUUGUCACUGACCUGCUGGCCUAGCAUCUCCUCCAUGUCUGCCCAUGCCACACCUUUCAGGACCAUUCUGGGUCUGAUGUGCUGUGGGGAUGCUCUGUCCAGGCACUUAGGAAAUGGAAACAUCACCAUUGGCAUUUUCACCUCAAACAACUAGGCAGUACCUUGGGAAGUAGCCAGAGGAAGCGACUCCAGCCUCCCAGGAGUUAAAGGCGCUUCUCCCCAGCUGUCCUCCCCUUGGUGCUCCUUCUCCUCCCUCCUUCUGCUCACAGCAGGCAGGGCCUGGAACCAGGAGCCAUGCUGCUGUGCUGUUGCCAGGGGAGCUGGGAGGCAGAUCGGAGCUAUGCAGGGGAAAGGCUCAGCCUGUCAAAGUGUCUGAGAUGAACCACCGCCAUCCCUGUGCAGCUGGGCUCAGAUGUGUCUCGGCUCUUGUUCUGUGCCUGAGAACGGUGAAGCCCAGUGAGGUUCAAGGGCACACUCGCUAUUCAUUAGUCAGGGGUUCUUGACGUCCUGUCUCUCCCAGGCAUGGGUUCCCCCCUUCUUCUUUCCCUCCCUCCUAUGACACAUUCCUGGGUGCCUGUGGUGAGGACUGCACACCCCCUCCUGCUCAGCCCCCUCCACACAAACCCUGAAUCAACUCCUGUUAAGGAGACCAGGCGGGACAGAGACAAUGGCUUCAAGAAACCAUUCAGGCGGGACCCCAGCCACAUUCGCCGGCCCUUGACUCCCAGGGCUCCUAUAGAUCCAACUCUGCUGUGACUCAGGGCACCCUUGGGCCCCCAGCUUGCACAUGCCUGGACAGAAGCAGACCACUUGGUGCUGCCCUACACAACAGGCCAGUGCAGUGCUAUUCUCAGUGGGCACCUUGGUGCCUCUGUCCCACUGGCUGGAUCUUUUUUGUGCAGUUUGUUGGAGUAGAAACUGUACAGUAUUUUCUGAAAUGUCACCACUAUGUCAAACUGUAAAAGGCACAUAUCCUUGGUUACUAAUUUCAUGAUUAGGAAUUUGUUCCAGAUACUGGAAACAUUUACUAAGAAGCAUGGACAAAGAACUGUGUGGUUCAACGGGUUAUUUAAUACCAUGGAAUACUACACAGCUGUAAAAGUGUGGUAGAUCUGUCUGCAUGCAGGCUGAUAUCAAAGGCUGACUAAUAAAUGUAAAUGAAUAAAAUAAAUAACAGGGCAGUCAAGUAUGUUCUUAUUUGUAUACAUUUAAAGUCAGUCAUGGAGUCCGAGGUAUGUGAAGGUCAGUGGUGAAAUACACACAGCAUACAAGAGGCCUGGAGUCAAAUAAAACAUAUCAGGGGGCUGGAGAGAUGGCUCAGCAGUUAAGAGCACUGAGUGUUCUUCCACAGGUCUCUGGUUCAAUUCCCAGCACCCACAUGGCAGCUAACAACUGUCUGUAACUCCAAGAUCUGACACCUUCAUACAGACAUACAGACAAAAUACCAAUGCAAAUUAAAUAAAAAAUAAAUAUUAAAAAAUAAAACGUAUCAG
ensembl:lncRNA